CGAUGUCGAUGAACUCGCAUCAAUCGACAGACCAUGACGAAGAUCGAUGGACGGAUUACUCCAGUCAUCGAUCGACGUUGUCCGCUAAAUCGACUGAUUGCAAUGCAGUUCGAAUUCUAACUCAUGAAGAAUUCGCAGCUAAGCAUCCUCACCCACCCUCCCCUUUCUAUGAUAAAAUCGAUCGAUCGGUUGAGCCAACCAUCGAUCGACAAAGUGACUCCCACGUCGAUCGUCACACCCCACCUCCCAUCAAUCGACAUGCACCUCUGACAUCCCGAGUGAGGUU